rnacentral:rRNA from 1 species
AGGACGAACGCUGGCGGCGUGCUUAACACAUGCAAGUCGAGCGGUGAACUUCCUUCGGGAAGGAAUCAGCGGCGAACGGGUGAGUAACACGUGGGCAACCUGCCCUCAGCUCUGGGAUAACUCCUCGAAAGAGGGGCUAAUACCGGAUACGACUUCCUUUGGCAUCACGGGAAGUGGAAAGUUUUUCGGCUGAGGAUGGGCCCGCGGCCUAUCAGCUUGUUGGUGGGGUAAUGGCCCACCAAGGCGACGACGGGUAGCCGGCCUGGAGAGGGGCGACCGGCCACGACUGGGACUGAGACACGGCCCAGACUCCUACGGGAGGCAGCAGUGGGGAAUAUGCGCAAUGGGCAAAGCCUGACGCAGCGACGCCGCGUGAGGGAUGAAGGCCUUGGUGUAAACCUCUUUCAGCAGGGACGAAGCGAAAGUGACGUACCUGCAGAGAAGCACCGGCAACACGUGCCAGCAGCCGC